AAUCAAAAUAAUAAGAUUUUAAUUUUACUUUUAAAUCCACCUUCAAUAAAUAAUAAAAAUUUAUAUUCGUAUAAAUAAAUUUAUUGUAACCCAUCUCUACUUGCCUAUAAAAUUGCACCUUGACCUGACAUCUUAUAUUUAAUAUUAAUAGAAUAUUUAUCUCUAAAAAGAUACUCUUAUGACGGAGGUAUACAAACUGAUAGCAAAAACAAGUAUUUUAUCAUCGUGGAUUAUCAAUUACAGGACAGGUUCCUCUAAAUGGAGUAAAAUACCGCCAAAUUCUCUGGGUUUCAAGAACAUAACAAAUACUACCCUAGUUUAUUUU
rnacentral:rRNA from 1 species